UACGUACUCCUUCCAUCUCAAAAUUCUUGUCUUAGAUUUGUUUAGAUAUGAAUUUAUCUAGUCACAUUUUAGUAUUUAGAUACAUUCAUUUUUAGACAAAUUUAAGACAAAAAAUUUGAGACAGAGGGAGUAGUGU
rfam:Hordeum vulgare subsp. vulgare, WGS project CAJW01000000 data, contig: morex_contig_69053